GCAGCUUAAUAGUUAUUGAAUCAAGUUGCACUUGAAGGCAUUGUUCUGUUCUUAAUGCUGCCUCUACAGCUGCUUGAUUAAUUUUUGUCCAGAACUGAGGCAGAGCUCAGGUAUUUUGUAGCAAUUUUAAACCAUUCUGAGGCAUGCAGGUGAUCAAGAGGAGAGUAAGCUUUAUGGCACAGCCUCUGGACUAGAACAGUCUUCUAUUUAGAAAGACCAUUUAAAAGAAACCUAGAGAUAUUCUGGGGGCAAGGUUCAUCUACCUUAACAUUUCACCAGAUAAACAAGGUUCCAAAGGACUACAACUGAUUUGAAGCAAUGAGGGAGGAAGACAAACUGUUCCAAAAAGAAGCUCAGAAUGAAACACAAGUUGUAUAGUUAAUGUACAUCAAGCUAAUGAGUACGAUUCAAG
rnacentral:lncRNA from 1 species